AUGAAGAAGCUUAGAAGUUCCCAGCAGCAAGUACACAAUCCAAAGCCUGUACGCGUUGCACCACCCCCUCAAUGGGUCACACCUCAAAUGCACCAACAACAUUACCAACCUGCUCCAGACCAAAAAUGGAUGACACCCGAAACACACGGAUACUUCCAAGAUGAUGGGUCACAGCCCUAUCCGCACAGGUUUGCGCCUCCACCUAAUUGGGUGACGCCGGAAAUCCCCCGCGGAUUCUUUGUAUCCACCAGCAGACUCCCAAGCACGCCGAUGGAGGAGGGGGUUAGCUCAAGUCCUGCGUGUAACUCUGGAGGUUAUCCUGGUGUGCCUCAUCAAUGCCAAAGCGAAGCAACUAAACCGGAUCCCAGGACAAAUCCAACAGCAACACACACACACGGAGGAGAGUGA
rnacentral:rRNA from 1 species